AGCAAAUCCUAACCGUGGUCUCUGAGAUGGGCCCCUGGAUUGCUCUUGACUUCAUCUCCCAACUCUUUCCCUGGCUCAAUCAACUCUAGGCACUCUGGUCUCCUCGCUGGUUAAGGUCGGCUGCAAAGAAGAUUUGUAGGAGAUUUGGAGGCUGGAAGGAGACACAAGAGAUGCAAGUUCAAUCCCUGGGUUGGGAAGAUCUUCUGGAAUAGGAAACAGCAACCCACUCCAGUAUUCUUGCCUGGGGAAUCCCAUGGACAGAGAAGCCUAGCGAGGUUGCAGAGUCAGACAUGACUGAGCAACUAACUCUUCACUUUUAGUCUGUGACUGCUGACCUUAUAAGAGACAGAAAUUUAGACACAGGGAGAAUAUGAAGUCAUGAUGAAGGCAGAGACUGGAGUGAUGCAGCUACAAGCCAAUGAAUGCCAAGGACUGCUGGCGACCCUCAGAAGCUAGGGGAGAGGUAUGGACCAGAUUCUUCUUCACGGCUUCCAGAAGGAGCAAACCUUUAUAACACUGUGCUUUUAUGCUUUAAGACUCCAGAAUAUGAGGGGAUAAAAU
ensembl:lncRNA